rnacentral:lncRNA from 1 species
UUCGGAUUCUGUGUCUCCCUCUCUCUCUGCCCCUAUCCUGCUCGCUCGCUCUCUCUCUCUCUCUCUCUCUCCCUCAAAAAUAAAUAUUAAAACAAAAACAAAACACAACCUAAUUUAUAGACGUGAAAUCUCCUACUCUUACAACUUUUCCAGGAUUUUGUCGAAGUGACGGUUUCCUCUGAACCUCCAAGUUCACACUGAACUCCAGGUAUCCUGAUGCUUCAUCCAGUGCCUAACCUGCGGUGCCCAAAGCGGUGUAUCCAACAAAGUCCCCAGGUUCUUUUCCUAGAAGGAAAUCCCUCUGUAGAUCUGGUCACAGGAGUUGCGAGCCACCCCUGCAGCGACCAUAAACCAGAUGUCUGCAGGCGGCUACUGGCAGGCUCCUCUGUGUUUCCAGACCCUUCUGGGGCCCUUCCUUCCGCCAUCAUGGCCCGUCUCCGGUAUAACUUCUCCUUCGGUCCUCGGGAAAAGUGAGGCACCUAGAAGCUUGUACUCGUCUCAAGUAACAACAGUCCGGUAUUAGCAGUCCUCUGAACGUAAGCCCCCAGUUGACUCUCACGAACCAGGUGUGAUGAUGUCUUUACGUUUCUUUUCUUUUCUUUAUGCUAGAGAGAGACAGCGAGCAAGUAUGAGCAGGGGAGGGGCAGAGAGAGAGGGAGAGAGAAUCCCAAGCUGGCUCCACACUGCCAGCACAGAGCCCCACACGGGGCUCAAUCCCACGACCCGGGGAUCGUGACCUGAGCCACAAUCAGGAGCCGGAUGCUUGACUGACUGAGCC